rnacentral:lncRNA from 1 species
AUGAGAGGAUCACGCAGCGGCCUUGGGAGGCCACGAUGGCAGGACAAGAGACACCGCCAGGCCAGGCGACCUCACCAGGAGGAGGGACGGAGCCAUAGACCAAGGUCACCUGGCGAGUCGAGAACAAAGCCGUCUGGGCUUUCUCUUGGAGAGCCUGAAACCUAUAAAUCCUUAAAUGGCAUUAUCAAGCGACAAGCACUGAGUUUCCUUAAUUCUCCAAAGGGAUUAGGAAAAUGCAGCCAAGCUAAGCGCCUCAGGGACUGUGCUUCUCCCGAGCUGGCCCCGCCCACGGCAAACACCCUUGGGCCUCGGACCGCCCCACUUCCUAACAGUGCAGCCUGUAAUUACAAUGACCGCAGGCGUCGGCAGCAUCUGGCUCAGGAAGACUUCCAAGGGGACAGGCAGGUGUUCGGGCGGACCCAACCACACGAACGAAGGUCGAAGGUAUCAAGUCUGGAACGAGGGGUUAGCCCUGUCCCUAAAUUUGCAGGGCCUGGGGCAAAGGUCAAAUAGCAAAAGGCCCACCUGCCAUGGGUCCAAAUAGUUAAGAGCUAUAAAUCAAGCACACUGUUGAACAAAUGCAUUCUGUCUCACACCUUGUAACAACCUGGUGUGAACUAGGCUCCCUUCCAGGACACAGGGAGUGGGGAGCAGGGGGUGGACAGUGGCACCCUGCUGACCUCUGACUUCUGAUCCCCCAUCGUAGCCAACUCCGGUCCACUACCUCCCUUCUUUCCCACCCCUGCCAGCCCCGUCGCUCACGGUGAAAUGUCCCAUGUGCACGAGUGUGGACAUCACAGCCUACGUGGCCAAGUUCUGUCCUCACGCCCCACGCCAGCAUGCCCCUCGGUCACCCUUGGUCUGGGGCUGCACAUGCCAGCCACGUAGCCAGGCAUCGGGGAAAACGUCCCCACAGAGCCCAGAAGGGGGCUCAGGACUGCUCUGACAGAGAACCAGUGGGGGGCAGUGGUUCUCCUCGGCAGGAGCCGUUGACAGAAUUUAGGGGUGAGCAGAGCUGGUGGUGGUUGUUCUCCAGGACAGCACUGGGAAGGCAGAGCUGAGGCAUCUAGAAUGUUCCCUCACUAA